UACGUAGGCGGAAAAUUAAGUCAGUAGUGAAAUCCUGCAGCUUAACUGUAGAACUGUUAUUGAUACUGGUUUUCUUGAAUAUAGUUGAGGUAGGCGGAAUGUGUAAUGUAGCGGUGAAAUGCUUAGAUAUUACACAGAACACCGAUUGCGAAGGCAGCUCACUAAGCUAUGAUUGACGCUGAGGUACGAAAGCGUGGGGAGCGAACAGGAUUAGAUACCCUGGUAGUC
rnacentral:rRNA from 1 species